rnacentral:rRNA from 1 species
CAGUAGCCGCGGUAAUGCGUAGGGUGCAAGCGUUAAUCGGAAUUACUGGGCGUAAAGCGUGCGCAGGCGGUUUGUUAAGACAGAUGUGAAAUCCCCGGGCUCAACCUGGGAACUGCAUUUGUGACUGGCAAGCUAGAGUCUGGCAGAGGGGGGUGGAAUUCCGCGUGUAGCAGUGAAAUGCGUAGAUAUGCGGAGGAACACCGAUGGCGAAGGCAGCCCCCUGGGCCAACACUGACGCUCAUGCACGAAAGCGUGGGGAGCAAACAGGAUUAGAUACCCGCGUAGUCCCUGUCUCUUAUAC